GUAUGGGUGGCUCAGUAGGUAGGGCCUAGGGUUGGUAACCAUAAGGUCCUGGAUUCAAAUCUCACCAAACA
rnacentral:tRNA from 1 species